UACGUAGGGUGCAAGCGUUAUCCGGAAUUAUUGGGCGUAAAGAGCUCGUAGGCGGUUUGUCGCGUCUGCUGUGAAAACUGGAGGCUCAACCUCCAGCCUGCAGUGGGUACGGGCAAACUAGAGUGCGGUAGGGGAGAAUGGAAUUCCCGGUGUAGCGGUGAAAUGCGCAGAUAUCAGGAGGAACACCGGUGGCGAAGGCGGGUCUCUGGGCCGAUACUGACGCUGAGGAGCGAAAGCGUGGGGAGCGAACAGG
rnacentral:rRNA from 1 species